UACAUGGAACUCUCUCUAAUUGCACUUUUCCACAAGCUCCAGUAACGAUGCACUGUUUUUCUUUUCUUUUUAUUUAUUUAUUAAUGUUUGUGUGUUACAACAAUUACGCCUUGCGGUAUUAAAAUCAAUGGAGUUGAUUUUGGAAACUUGUGUAUUUUUGUAACUCAGAAGAAGCUUGGUACAAAUGUAUACAGACUCCAUAUUCAUUCCUGGGAGAAUGCAUCUUGUCACCUUUGCAACAGUUCGUUUAAAUCUAUACACCAUAUACUAAUUGCUUGCCCAAAGGCUUAGGAACUGCUUCAAUUUGCAUUGGAAAAUUAUACAUACUUUCUUUUCAAAUUUCAGUGACUGGUUAGUGGGAAAUAGUAUGAAUAAUGAUGAAAACUACAAGUGAGGAUGAUACUAUUUUUUUCUUGAUAAGUGAGGCAGGGAAAUCGUCAAUUUGGUUCAGAUUGUCAAUCUUCUGUGUUAGUCCAAGACCGGAAGAUUAAUAUGGCCAAGAGUGUACUAGUUGUUGUCAAUGUGGGUUAUAGGCUUUUGGGCGGUGGAAAAAAGGCUAAAUGAAUAUGGGGUGUAUGGUGGUGAUGGCUAUUAUCUGACUACUUUGGAAUUGGUGGAUCUUUGAAGAUGUUGGAGGAUGGAAGUGGAGGAGGUGUGGGAGAUGGUCAAGUUUUGGGCAGCACUUCAGGCUUUGGGAGUCUGUUGAACAAGGAGUGGCAAGUGAGGGAGAGAAUUGCCCUUCGAAUUACUUUGGCCUUCCCUUGGGGGAAUAUUGCUGAGUAGCGUCCUUCCAAUCUUUCAGAUUGCCUAAUAGGGUUGCAAGGAGGACUAAGAAGUUGAUACAGGAUUUUGUGCGGGAAGGAUGUGAUGAAGGAAGAUAGGAUCACCCAAUUAUUUGGGAUAUUGUUCAGAGACCAAUAGUGAAGGGAGUGGUAGCCAUCGGUAGCUCAAUGAGAGGAAUCACUUUUAUCUUAUUAUUUACUUUUUGAGAAUAAAAAAGAGACAUAAUUUGUGAAAGAAUCAUAAAAGUUGUCAAAGUUUCAGUGAAUUCGUGUGUAAAAUAAUCAUUUUGGAAGCCAAAUUUUUCGCAUCAAAUAAAAAAUGUACUUGGAAUUGUGAACAAGAUAGUUGACUUGUAAUCUGAGGUGUUGGUGGUGAGUGAGUGCCAAAUAAAGG